AUUGAACGCUGGCGGCAGGCUUAACACAUGCAAGUCGAGCGGAUGAAGGGAGCUUGCUCCUGGAUUCAGCGGCGGACGGGUGAGUAAUGCCUAGGAAUCUGCCUGGUAGUGGAGGAUAACGUCCGGAAACGAGCGCUGAUACCACAUACGACCAGAGGGAGAACGUGGGGGAUCUUCGGACCUCAAGCUAUCAGCUGAGCCUAGGUCGGAUUAGCUAGUUGGUGGGGUAAGGGCGUACCAAGGCGACUAUCCGUAACUGGUCUGAGAGGAUGAUCAGUCACACUGGAACUGAGACACGGUCCAGACUCCUACGGGAGGCAGCAGUGGGGAAUAUUGGACAAUGGGCGAAAGCCUGACCCAGCCAUGCCGCGUGUGUGAAGAAGGUCUUCGGAUUGUAAAGCACUGUUAUUUGGGAAGAACAGCAGUAAGUUAAUAUCUGGCCGUCUUGACGUUACCUACUGAAUAAGCACCGGCUAACUUCGUG
rnacentral:rRNA from 1 species